rnacentral:rRNA from 1 species
UACGUAGGGUGCGAGCGUUAAUCGGAAUUACUGGGCGUAAAGCGUGCGCAGGCGGUUUUGUAAGCCAGAUGUGAAAUCCCCGGGCUCAACCUGGGAAUGGCAUUUGGGACUGCAUGGCUAGGGUACGGUAGAGGGGGAUGGAAUUCCGCGUGUAGCAGUGAAAUGCGUAGAUAUGCGGAGGAACACCGAUGGCGAAGGCAAUCCCCUGGACCUGUACUGACGCUCAUGCACGAAAGCGUGGGGAGCAAACAGG